rnacentral:rRNA from 1 species
GACGAACUGUCCUAACGUUGUUCGGAAUCACUGGGCUUAAAGGGCGCGUAGGCGGCGCGGUAAGUCGGGUGUGAAAUCUCGGAGCUUAACUCCGAAACUGCAUUCGAUACUGCCGUGCUUGAGGACUGGAGAGGAGACUGGAAUUUACGGUGUAGCGGUGAAAUGCGUAGAUAUCUGGAGGAACACCGGUGGCGAAGGCGGCAUCCUGGACCGACACUGACACUGAGGAGCGAAAGCCAGGGGAGCAAACGGG